UGGGGGGACCAUCCUCCAAGCCUAAGUACUCCUUAUCGACCGAUAGUGAACAAGUACCGUGAGGGAAAGGUGAAAAGCACCCCGACGAGGGGAGUGAAACAGACCCUGAAACUGGACGCCUACAAGCAGUCGGAGGGCGAAAGCCUGACGGCGUACCUUUUGUAUAAUGGGUCAGCGACUUCGUCUCUCGAGCAAGCUUAAGCCGAUAGGUGUAGGCGUAGCGAAAGCGAGUCUUAAUAGGGCGACUGAGUUCGAGGGAUGAGACCCGAAGCCGGGUGAUCUAGCCAUGUGCAGGUUGAAGGUGCGGUAACACGCACUGGAGGACCGAACCCACGUAUGUUGAAAAAUGCGGGGAUGACGUGUGGCUAGGGGUGAAAGGCCAAUCAAACCCGGAAAUAGCUGGUUCUCCGCGAAAUCUAUUUAGGUAGAGCGUCUCGUGAAUACCCAUGGGGGUAGAGCACUGGAUGGGCUAGGGGGUCUCACCGACUUACCAAACCUAACCAAACUCCGAAUACCAUGGAGUAAUGCGAGGCAGACACACUGCGGGUGCUAAGGUCCGUAGUGAAGAGGGAAACAGCCCUGACCGCCAGCUAAGGUCCCUAAGUUAUCACUAAGUGGGAAACGAUGUGGGAGUGCUUAGACAACCAGGAGGUUGGCUUAGAAGCAGCCACCCUUUAAAGAAAGCGUAAUAGCUCACUAGUCGAGU
rnacentral:rRNA from 1 species